GACGAACGCUGGCGGCGUGCUUAACACAUGCAAGUCGAACGGGCCCGCUCUCUUUUUUGGGGGUGGGUUGAGUGGCGAACGGGUGAGUAUCCCGUGAGUAACCUGCCCCCUGCUCCUGGAUAACUGCUUGAAAGGGCGGCUAAUACGGGGUGUGCCGGCUGGUCCGCAUGGGCCUGGUCGGGAUAGUUUCAUCUUCGGGUGUUUCGGUGGGUGAUGGGCUCGCGGCCUAUCAGCUUGUUGGUGGGGUGAUGGCCCACCAAGGCGGUGGCGGGUAGCCGGCCUGAGAGGGUGGGGGGCCACGCGGGGACUGGGACACGGCCCAGAUGACUGCGGGAGGCAGCAGUGGGGGGUAUUGGACAAUGGGCGGAAGCCUGAUGCAGCGACGGCGUGUGAGGGAUGGAGGCCUUCGGGUUGUGAACCUCUUGCGCCGGUGGUGAAGGCCCUGUCCGUUGCGGCGGGGUUGACGGUAGCGGGGUAUGAAGCGCCGGCUAACUACGUG
rnacentral:rRNA from 1 species